rnacentral:rRNA from 1 species
CAGCCAAGCCACCCUGAACAAGCUCAAUCUUGUCUGAUCUCAGAAGCUAAGCAGGGUCCGGCCUGGUUAGUACUUGGAUGAGAGACCACCUAGGAAGACCAGGUAUUUUUAUGC